rnacentral:rRNA from 1 species
AGAGUUUGAUCUGGCUCAGGAUGAACGCUAGCGACAGGCUUAACACAUGCAAGUCGAGGGGCAGCGGGGGUGAUGGCUUGCCAUCACCUGCCGGCGACCGGCGCACGGGUGAGUAACACGUAUGCAACCUGCCCGCCACAGGGGGAUAAGCGGAAGAAAUUCCGUCUAAUACCGCGUGACGCGGCGUCGGGGCAUCCCGGUGCCGCCAAAGGGAUUACCGGUGGCGGAUGGGCAUGCGGCGCAUUAGCUAGUCGGCGGGGUAACGGCCCACCGAGGCGACGAUGCGUAGGGGUUCUGAGAGGAAGGUCCCCCACACUGGUACUGAGACACGGACCAGACUCCUACGGGAGGCAGCAGUGAGGAAUAUUGGUCAAUGGGCGGGAGCCUGAACCAGCCAAGUCGCGUGAGGGAUGACGGUCCUACGGAUUGUAAACCUCUUUUGCCGGGGAGCAAGCGUGCGUUCGUGAACGCGCGUCGAGAGUACCCGGAGAAAAAGCAUCGGCUAACUCCGUGCCAGCAGCCGCGGUAAUACGGAGGAUGCGAGCGUUAUCCGGAUUUAUUGGGUUUAAAGGGUGCGUAGGCGGGAUGCCAAGUCAGCGGUAAAAAUGCGGUGCUCAACGCCGUCGAGCCGUUGAAACUGGCGUUCUUGAGUGGGCGAGAAGUAUGCGGAAUGCGUGGUGUAGCGGUGAAAUGCAUAGAUAUCACGCAGAACUCCGAUUGCGAAGGCAGCAUACCGGCGCCCUACUGACGCUGAGGCACGAAAGCGUGGGUAUCGAACAGGAUUAGAUACCCUGGUAGUCCACGCAGUAAACGAUGAAUGCUAACUGUCCGGUGCGAAUGAGCGCUGGGCGGUACAGCGAAAGCGUUAAGCAUUCCACCUGGGGAGUACGCCGGCAACGGUGAAACUCAAAGGAAUUGACGGGGGCCCGCACAAGCGGAGGAACAUGUGGUUUAAUUCGAUGAUACGCGAGGAACCUUACCCGGGCUCAAACGCAGGAUGACGGGUCCCGAAAGGGGCCUUUCUUCGGACAUUCUGCGAGGUGCUGCAUGGUUGUUGUCAGCUCGUGCCGUGAGGUGUCGGCUUAAGUGCCAUAACGAGCGCAACCCCUGUCCACAGUUGCCAGCAGGUAAAGCUGGGGACUCUGUGGAGACUGCCGGCGCAAGCUGCGAGGAAGGCGGGGAUGACGUCAAAUCAGCACGGCCCUUACGUCCGGGGCGACACACGUGUUACAAUGGCAGGUACAGCGGGAUGCCACGGGGCGACCCGGCGCUGAACCCGAAAACCUGUCUCAGUUCGGAUUGGAGUCUGCAACCCGACUCCAUGAAGCUGGAUUCGCUAGUAAUCGCGCAUCAGCCACGGCGCGGUGAAUACGUUCCCGGGCCUUGCACUCACCGCCCGUCA